CUCUCGCUGGCUCUGGGUAAAGUUUGUGUGUUUUUACGUCACUCAGCUGAUUCCACAUGUCAACACAAAGACGAGCGCAAGUUGGUGUCACUUGGAUCUGGAUCAGUCACCGAACCGGAAGCUGCCUGCUUCCUGUUGGACUCAGAGAACCGAACCUCAACCCCCCCCCCAUCCCAGCGUGUAGCUUGACCCGGGUUCUUCCCUGAGCUCGGUUCGGUGUGGUUCGGACUCUGAGCCGAACAUCACCAUAACAACCACCCUGGCUCGCGCUGCUCUGCUCGGCUCCCGCGCGCCGCGCCACUUCACCCCGCAGACUUUUAGCGGGAGUUCCGGUCCAGCUUACCUGGAUCACCUGCAGCGGCGUCGUCACGUGGUCCGCGGCCCGGUCCAGUCCGGAGAGCAGAACCGGUCCAGAGAACCUGAGAGUUCUGAUCGAUCAGCUGCGAUCCAUGCUCUGAUCGCUCUUCAUCGUCCUCCUCUUCAUCAUCCGCAGCAUCAGCAGCACGAGGCGCGCUCCCGCCGCGGACACGCACACGCCUCGCCCAUGCGCGCACAUGUGCGCCAGCAGCAGGUUUCUGCUUUCUUCUUCGUGUGUUUGGGUUUAUGCGCGCCAACACCGACCAGAACGUCCCAGCGGAGGCUAGUCAGAGGUUCGGAACCGACGGACCGGAAUGAGAAAAAUAAAAACACAGAAACGAUCAAAGUAUGAAAAUGAAAUGAAACGACAGCGGAUGACAAUCUGAGGAAAUAACUGAUGGAAACAUAAAUAAUCUAUAAAAUAAUCUUGACCCAAACAGAACCUCAGGAGAAACGAACUUCUGGAGACUUUCUCUGGUUUCAUGGCGCCGUUUGUAAAAUUCAAAAAGACUUUAUUAAUCCCAAAGGGAAAUGAAAUGUUGUAGUAAAUCAUUCAUUUAGAUUCUUCAGUUAUUGAAGAUGCUGCUGGCAGGAAGAAUCUCCUGUAGCAGUCUGUGCUACAGCGACUCUGGAGAAGCCUCUGACUGAAGACGCUCAGGGUUGGCCAGAACUUUAUUGAUUUUAUGAAGAAUCCUUCUUUGCAUCAUCAUCACCAGAGGACCCACAGUCAGAACCUGAACAGAACCAGAACAGAACCAGCCUUCUUAUUCAGGCUGUUGAGCCUCUUUAGCUCCUGGUUCUGGUGGUUCUGGUGGUUCUGACAGCAGAUCCAAACCCUGAAGGAUUUUCUCUUCCUCUGUGUCUGUGAUCCAGAUGAACAUUCAGGUUUUUAUCUUCUCCCAUGAUGGAAACGGGGUUUGACCUUUGACCCUGUUCCUCCUGAAACCAACAAUUACCUCAUUUGUUUUGUUCACAUUUCAGAUGAUUUGACUGUUCCCUCUGUGACCCGAACGGUCCAACAGCUCUCUGUACUCAGCCUCUUGUCUGUCUCCGAUAAACCAUCAACUGCAGAGUAAUCUGAGUACUUCUGUAAUCUGAGUACUUUAGUACAUGACAGAAAUCAGUCUUGUGCUGAACGUCUGAAGUGUAGAGAGAAACGGAGCGGAGAGCCGAGCCAGACGCUCAGUCCCCUAGUCUGUACCUGUGGUCUGUUGUCAGGUCAUCGUCAGGUCAUCGUCAGGUCAUCAGGUGACGGUUCCGGCUCCACCUGAGUCUCCUGAAGUUCGUCACAGACCAGAUCAGGCUGAAUCCUGUUAAAUGGGUUCAUGAAGCAGGUUAAGAUGGCGUCUCUGUCUCCAUGGCGACAAGCAGACUCCAGGGGGUCCUGAUAUGAGCUUGUUCAGGUGGGCCAACAGGAGUCUCUCCAGGACCUUCAUAAUGUGGGUUGUCAUGGCAACAGGUCUACAGUCGUUGAUGAGUGAAGGUGAGGUUUCUCUGGUACCGGAACCAGGCAGAAUGUCGUCCACAGUAACAGAACUUUCUGUUGUGUCGGGCUGAGGUUGAAGAGAUGCUGCAGAAUCCCACAGAACUGCUCUACAGCGACACCAUCUGGACCUGGACAUGGUUCCGGUUCCGUCUCUCCAGCUGCCUCUUCAGGUCCAGAACCAGAUCAGGAGGCAAACAGAGCAGCAGCUCCUGAUCUGAUUGGAGGAGGAAGUUCAGAGGUUUGACAGGAAGCGGAGGGUCAGAGGAAGUUUGUCCUCCAGAUUCUUCUUGUUCUUCUGUCUCUCAUCUGGACUGGAGCUGCUUCUGUUCCCCGUCUCGUUCCCUAAAGGCUCGUUGGUUCCUUCAGGUCCCUGCUGAUCCAGCGUUUGUCAUUCAGGAAGCUUCUCUCUGCUCUGGUGGCGAUGCUGCCGUCCACACAGAGCUUCCUGUCAGUCAUGGCUCUGAUGUCGCCUCCAUGAGGCUGGCAGAGAGCGAUCCAAUCAGUUGCUUCAAACAAGCCUGGAGGAGCUCUUCUGCUUCCUGUGAUCGUUUCCUAACAGCCAUGUUAACAGGCUGCGUCUUCACAAAUUAGAGUCGAAGAUUAUUUAAAAAAAACAUGGAGAUUAAUUUUUCUGUAAUAUUUUUUGCACCUUCAAAUUAAAUAUUUAAUUAGAAAGCUAGAUAUUUUGUUUCUAAUAAAAACAAAAUAGCAUGCUAUUUAUUUACCUCUACAUUUAGUUUACAAAACUUAAUAUUUAGCUAGCUCAAAAUAAAUAGCUAAUAUGCAAAUUCAUUUCGUAAGUGGAAGUGGAUUUUCAAAAUGAAAGCUGGGUGUUAGGCUGAAUCCUUCCAUGCUGCAUCAUUGUUGCUGUAGAUCAGGGCUGCUCCACUUCCUGACCCAACAGAGGGAAUCAGCUCUGAACAGGCCAGACAUCCAUCUGGUUCACUGAGCUGCAGCAGGGAAUGGUGUGAAAGUUGCAGAAUCUCUGGAGGUCUGACUUGAGUGCACCUGCUAUUGAUCGAUUAGUAAACUUCUGAACUGCCUUUAAAUUGGCUCAGCUGAAAUAUUGGACAAGAAAAGAUAACAUGAUGACAAAGAGGUAUCAAGAAACAACCUUAAAGCAGUUAAGAGUUUUGGAAACCCAGCUUUUAUCUUGGUAGUUCACUUCCUGUUAUCAGCCAGGCUUAGCUAAAUAUUUAGCUAAUAUUAGCCAUAUCAGCUAAGCUAAAUAUUAGCAAAUAAUCAACAAUUUCUUCCUGAAUUGUAACAAUUAUGAAUUAAAAACGGAAAUACAAUUUUUCUGACGGGUUCAAUAAUUUUUGUCAGGCACAGAAAGUGUAACUGUGAACCUGGUUCUGACUCUCAUUUUGGACUCCGAUCAGCAGGAAGCACUGGGUCCAGC